rnacentral:rRNA from 1 species
UGCAGUCGAGCGGCAGCAACAACAUUGACUCUUCGGAGGAUUUGUUGGGCGGCGAGCGGCGGACGGGUGAGUAAUGGCUGGGAACCUGCCCUGACGUGGGGGAUAACAGUUGGAAACGACUGCUAAUACCGCAUGAUGUCUACGGACCAAAGAGGAGGACCUUCGGGCUUCUCGCGUCGGGAUGGGCCCAGUUGGGAUUAGCUAGUUGGUGAGGUAAUGGCUCACCAAGGCGACGAUCCCUAGCUGGUUUGAGAGGAUGAUCAGCCACACUGGAACUGAGACACGGUCCAGACUCCUACGGGAGGCAGCAGUGGGGAGUAUUGCACAAUGGGCGCAAGCCUGAUGCAGCCAUGCCGCGUGUGUGAAGAAGGCCUUCGGGUUGUAAAGCACUUUCAGCAGUGAGGAAGGCGUAGUGGUUAAUACCCGCUGCGCUUGACGUUAGCUGCAGAAGAAGCACCGGCUAACUCCGUGCCAGCAGCCGCGGUAAUACGGAGGGUGCGAGCGUUAAUCGGAAUUACUGGGCGUAAAGCGCAUGCAGGCGGUUUGUUAAGCAAGAUGUGAAAGCCCCGGGCUCAACCUGGGAACCGCAUUUUGAACUGGCAGGCUAGAGUCUUGUAGAGGGGGGUAGAAUUUCA